CGGUCUCGGCUGAUUGUGAACGGAUUGAAAGCGGUGAGCUCAAAAGCUGUAACUGCCGUAGUGGCGUGACCGAACGAUCUAUGAGCGAGCAACGAACGGCGGUACCAGCGUCACUGAGAGCCUCCACAAUGCUCGCGGCGUUAAUUUUUCAAUCGCUGGCUUGAAAAGGCGGACGUGUGUCGUUUGGUUCUGUUUUGUUUAUACUUGGCGACACGAUUAAUUUAUAAUGUUGACGGGCCCAAGUCAGUGCAAUUGUGUUCAUGUGCAGCAUGUAAGCGUUGUUCGCAAAGCGCAGCAGAAGGCUUCUGCUGUGCUUUGUUUUCGCCUCGGCGAUGACAGAAACUGUGUGGCUGAUGUCACGCAUAGAGUCUCACGGACUACAAGCCAUCCUCUACAAGAACAAGGCUGUCCGCACCAUAGACUGUUGUGUGUGCGGCAUUUUCCGCGGACUGUGUAACGAAGCCAGCAUUACCAGCUUAAGAUUUCAAGAUGGAGAAAAGGUUUCUGUCCACUUUGUCAUGACCUGCACCUGUUCAUCACCAGCUCCCGCUGUGCAGUAUUCUACUCUUGAGCAGUCAUCUGUCUCACUUUUCCAGGGAUUCCGCAUACUGCAAGGUCAGCAUCAAAGAUCUCCUGCGCCAGAUGGGACACGCUCUUCAGCGUGAAUGCCAGUGAGAUUACUGACAUACGCCUGCUGUCCUGUACAACUGGCUUCCCAGUAACCAGUUGCAGAGCCAUCAGCUCUCUGCCAACACACUCCAUGGCCUCCCUCUGAAAGUGGAAAGUUGAAGGUCGCAGCGGAGCCUUGAACCCUUUUGCCACCGGACUGCUCGAGUUCAGCAGGUCGAACGUCCUGAAAGUCUUCUCUGAACCUCUUCAUUCUGUCCUCCGGCUGCUCUGCGGAGCUGUACGUGUGGUCAAGAAGGACAUUCUCCAAGGCAGUAGUUGAUGUCCCACCAUCACUCUGUAUGCGGCAGCUACGUGAGGCUUCCUCGGUGGCUGGUGGCGGAGUGUCAUGCGCCUGCGAUUGAAUGUAUAAUGCAUGCUAACUUAGCCACCUAUUCACAGGACAGAGCACCGUUAACAUCCAUACAAUCCAGUUUUAUAACACACACAAGCAUGAUGAUUGUUCAUGGCAAGGCUGCAAUGACACUUAUUUUUACAUUGACAGGUAAUCAAUGUACCUGUCUGAUAAUGUAAUGGUUGUGGAGGGGGACCUGUCAGAAUCCACACAGCACGUGUGUGGGACA